GAUGAACGCUGGCGGCGUGCUUAACACAUGCAAGUCGAGCGAGUGAGUUCUUCGGAACGAUCUAGCGGCGGACGGGUGAGUAACACGUGGACAACCUGCCUCAUAGAGGGGAAUAGCCUCCCGAAAGGGAGAUUAAUACCGCAUAACAUCGUUGAAGGGCAUCCUUCGAUGAUCAAAGGAGUAAUCCGCUAUGAGAUGGGCCCGCGGCGCAUUAGCUAGUUGGUGAGGUAACGGCUCACCAAGGCGACGAUGCGUAGCCGACCUGAGAGGGUGAUCGGCCACAUUGGGACUGAGACACGGCCCAGACUCCUACGGGAGGCAGCAGUGGGGAAUAUUGCACAAUGGGGGAAACCCUGAUGCAGCAACGCCGCGUGAGUGAUGACGGCCUUCGGGUUGUAAAGCUCUGUCUUUGGGGACGAUAAUGACGGUACCUAAGGAGGAAGUCACGGCUAACUACGUGCCAGCAGCCGCCGUAA
rnacentral:rRNA from 1 species